UCAUGCUUAUGGUGCUUUUUGUUUGGAAAAAAAUUGCACAUUAAAAUUUGAUGAUCCAAUAAUUUUAGUUUUUGUGGAAAAUGCACAGAAGUUCCUUCCAGCUGUUGCAUGGAAAACCUUUAAGAAGAGCUGAAGAAAUGAUAACUGCUGUGGUGAAAAAUGUGUGACAAGUUGCAUCAUUUGGGGAGGUAACCUGAAAAAAACUGUAACCUGCUGCAGGUUUACUUUGAAAACAUCCAGAUGUGAGAUUUCUGAUUUGAACAACUGCGACGCUGCGACAUUUGAAUUUCUCCAAAGGCGAAAUGAUUAUAUCAAAAGAAGAAAUGUUCUUUCCAUCAGACUAUUUUGGGAUAAUCGUGUGGAUCAACAUCCAUCUCUGCUUUCCUCUCACCUUUCUGGUAAUUCCUCUGUGUUUUAUGGUCCGACUGGAUCACAUUCCUGUCUCCUACUACAUAAACCUCCUCAUAUCCAAUUUGAUCCUGAUCAUCACUCUGAUCUCUGAUAAUGCAUUUAGUCCUUCUAAAUACGAUUAUACCCUCGUACAUCACUGGCCACCCUACUUGUGCUUUGGGGUGGCCAGCGCUUGCUUCAAGAUGAUUUUUGCAGUAGAAAGGUUUCUUUUCCUCUACAGGCCACAGUUUCACUUCAUAAGAAAGACAAAAGGCUUUAUAACAGUCUGUGUU